rnacentral:rRNA from 1 species
UAAUACGUAGGUGGCGAGCGUUGUCCGGAUUUACUGGGCGUAAAGAGCGCGCAGGCGGCCAAGUCAGUCGAAUGUGAAAGCCCCCGGCUUAACUGGGGAGGGUCAUUCGAUACUGCUCGGCUCGAAGACAGGAGAGGGAAGCGGAAUUCCCGGUGUAGUGGUGAAAUGCGUAGAUAUCGGGAGGAACACCAGUGGCGAAGGCGGCUUUCUGGCCUGUUCUUGACGCUGAGGCGCGAAAGCUAGGGGAGCAAACGGGAUUAGAUACCCCGGUAGUCCUAGCCGUAAACGAUGGAUACUAGGUGUUGGUGGUAUCAACCCCGCCAGUGCCGUAGCUAACGCAUUAAGUAUCCCGCCUGGGGAGUACGGCCGCAAGGCUA